rnacentral:rRNA from 1 species
AACGAACGCUGGCGGCAUGCCUAACACAUGCAAGUCGAACGAAACCUUCGGGUUUAGUGGCGCACGGGUGCGUAACGCGUGGGAACCUGCCCUUAGGUUCGGAAUAACUCCCGGAAACUGGUGCUAAUACCGGAUAAUCUCUUCGGACCAAAGAUUUAUCGCCAUUGGAGCGGCCCGCGUUGGAUUAGCUAGUUGGUAGGGUAAAGGCCUACCAAGGCGACGAUCAGUAGCUGGUCUGAGAGGAUGAUCAGCCACACUGGGACUGAGACACGGCCCAGACUCCUACGGGAGGCAGCAGUGGGGAAUCCUGCGCAAUGGGCGAAAGCCUGACGCAGCAAUGCCGCGUGAGUGAUGAAGGUCUUAGGGUUGUAAAGUUCUUUUACCCGGGACGAUAAUGACAGUACCCGGAGAAUAAGCCCCGGCUAACUUCGUG